GAUGAACGCUGGCGGCGUGCCUAACACAUGCAAGUCGAACGGAAAGGCCCUGCUCUUGUGGGUUGCUCGUGUGCCGAACGCGUGAGUAACACGUGUGUAACCUCUCCUUGUCUUUGGGAUAACUUUAGGAAACUGGGGCUCAUACCGGAUAGGAGCUCCUGCUGCAUGGUGGUGGUUGGUAAGUGUCGGCUGUUGGGGAUGGACUCGCGGCUUACCCGCUUGUUGGUGGGGUAGGGGCUUACCAAGGCUUUGACGGGUAGCCGGCCUGAGAGGGUGACCGGCGACAAGGGUACUGAGGGACGGACCAGACUGCAACGGGAGGCAGUAGUGGAGAAUAUUGCGCAAUGGGGCGAAGCGUGAGACGGCGACGUCGCGUGCGUGAUGACGGCCUACGGGUGGUAAACCGCUGUGGCCUGUGACGAAGCGGGAGUGACGGUAAUGGGUAAGGAAGCACCGGCUAACUACGUG
rnacentral:rRNA from 1 species